CUCUCACGGCGAGACAGGUAGAGCCAAAGUCCCAGGGGAGGGCAGCCAAUGGCGCGAGAGAGCGGCCUGACGGACAACCGGAGCGACCAAUGACAAACGAGCCGCCUGACCACUGACGAUUGUCCAGCGCGGCAGAGAAUACCUUUGCCCACACGCGAGGAACAGAGAAAGACUGAGGGACAACUUUCGGCACACAGCAACAAAGGAAUCACGUUCAUUUCUCUUGAAGCUGUUUUUCUCCUCUGCCCAGAGUUCCUUUCGACACACAGACUGCAGAUCACUGCAAGAGAGAGACGCAGGAGAGGAACACUAAGGUUGACCUGUAUCUUCUUUAUAGCCCGACCUACAGCUUUAAAGAUGAUGCACAAGUUAAAAGUUGUUCCUAUACUUUUGCAGGAGUCAGCAAAACUAAAUGGGAAUAAAAUCUGUCUGCAAAAUUCCUAACUUGUAUAUUUUUACCAUCUAUACCACGGAGAGAAAGGCACAGUGUUGUAUGUAUGUACAUAGACCAUCAUUAUUGCUAACUGGCCUCUGGAAGCAGCUGAACUGUCGAAGGUACCAAAGCUGUUUUAAUAGACCCCCCCCCCCCCCCCCCCGUUACGCUUUACUAUUCUUGUCGGUGAACGUUUACUGUCCCACCCACACACACACACACACACACACACACACACACACUCAGCAGCUGGGCAUUGAAAAGAGAUAAUCAAAGGACAAGCAGCCUUGUCUCCAUUCAGAGAGAAUCCUUUACUUUUCCGUAGCAGGACGAUAUCACUCAACAGCUGAUGCAGAGAGAGAGAGAGAGAGUUAUAUUAGGGCCUGACUCAUUUCUUUGGAGCCAUAUGGGGCUUAAUUAACCCGCUGAUCUGAACCCAAUUCUAAAAUCAAACUCCGCUUUCUUUGUCUCCGUGGUGCAUCGUCAGCUGCACGUGGAUAGAAGGUGCUGGAUGAGGCUGGAGCAUCCGCGCUCUUAAAUGAACAGACGCUAACUGGAAAUGAUUAUGCGUUCAUGCUGCAACCGCACUUGACAUGGAGAGAUGGAGAUGAAUGACAUGUAGCUGCUGAAUCAGAAAAUCUCUACGAUGCUGGCUAUGGACAUUUUCCUGCUGUCAUGGUUGAAAAUACAGCUGUGUCAUUCGGACGGGAUGGACGGAUGUGACCCUUGUGUCGGAAUCACACUGCAUGGGUCAAGAAAAGCCCAUCGCUUAAAGGGGCAGUACGCGAUUCUGGACAAAGCUUGUUUCUCUCUUUGUUGUUGUUGUGAUUUCACUGCUCUCGUCGGGCCGCGAACCCGUGACCUCCGGUACAGAAGUCUGACGCACUGACCACUAGGCCAAAACCGCAGCGUCUUCAAGUGUUGACGAGUGAUGUUCACCAACUGUACUUGUAGCGUUGUUCGGUGCGGUCCGCACCAUGUUUUGGUUUUCGAUGUACGGACCCUGGGCUGAGCCUAAAACCUGGAUUUUUUUUUUUUUACUCGCUGAUUUUUACAAAACGUGCAUUUCUUUAGAAUGCCGUGUACUGCCCCUUUAAAACAUCAUGGUCUGUGGAGAAAACAGGACAAACGGCAGAGGGUAGAUAACAUGCUAUCAAAAUGAACAAACUGACUUUCUUUAAGUGGGAUCCUCAUGUUUUUUAGGAUCUCAAGGGUCACGUUCCUGCGAUGUGAUUAACUCCACACCCGCUGUUAACUUGGCCAAAGCAGCGGUGGGGCUUCGUAAUGAGGCAGCGACUCGUUCUGCUGCACAGCGUGUCGCUCUCUCAGCAGCUCGGAGUCUGUGAUGUCUUCUCUUCAUAGUGACCCCGGACAUGAGAACAUGUGAAGGUUAGAACACGGAGUCAGUCAAUUAGCCAACGCAACGUGCGCCAAUGUAGCUUAGCUCAUUCGUUAUGCUCGCGUCAAUAAACCUGUGAUCAUCACCUCGAAAAACACGUGUAGGAGAAUGUCAUGACCCAAAGAAUGAGAAGAUCAAAACACAUCAAAUACCAAAAAAUGACAUAAGUGGAGGGAAAUUUAAAAUGAAUACAUUUUACAGUUUAAUGGACAAAAAGGUGAAGGUACAAUAUUGUAUACUAUAUUUUUUUAUUCAAGUCCACAGCUGCCCGAGGUUUUUAAAAUAUAAAAAAAUAUGAAUAUAUUAAACGUUGCAUUCAGAACGUUACAGCAACCUGCACUCUGCCCUGGUGCACGCCCUUACUACACAACAUCCUCACUGCAGUGGUCCAUGUGCCGCUCCCUCUGAAACUGUAAAUAUGAUUCAGUUGACUUGUGGAUCUGAUAACUCAUCCUGCCCGUCGCUGUCGAGGUGUUUGCUGAGAAGCGGUGGUCAUGAGGUCUCUCUCACACUGACGCAGAGAUUCAAACAGUAAAUCAGUGGACACAGAAAACAUCACAAUAAUGGGCAGACUGGUAUUUUGCCCCUGGCCUGGGGCAAUGAGUGGCCUGGCUGAGGCGGCAUUCAACCUGCAACAAUAUUACAUUGUUUUUGUCACCUUUUUAUAGUUUAUUAUGUUUUUGUAGCCAUUUGAUGUGUAAUAUAUAAUUUGCACCUUUUUUGCAUUAGUAAGUAAUAUAAAGUUCAUUUAUUGUGGCAUCUGUCACAGAGCAAAGUGCUUCACAAACAAAAGAUUAAUUAAAGAAAAGACCAUAAUCGCAGAAAGAAACCCCCCCCCAAAAUACAAACAAUAGAAAAGAAAAGACACAAGGUUACAAACACUAGUUAUAAGUCUUCAUGUGCAUCUUUAAAGGGAUUAUCAGAGGCGUCAGAAUGUGUGUCGACCAGUAAUCCCCGGUCAGAAGUCCAUAAGUGACCCGCUGCUGCUGUAACCAUGGAGACAUGGUAACCAGAGGCCUGAACAUGCAGAGCUCUGUAAACAAGAACACUUGAUGGGUAAUGAUGAUGUGUAAAGAUAAUGGAGGGUGGGUCUUAAUAUAGUCUUUCUGUAAAAGAAAUUAAAAAUAUGACGACAGCCCCCGUGGAAUUUCCCGUGAGAACCUCUCAAAGUCUGCGUGGAUUCGGGUGUGACUUCUGAAUAACAGAUGAGAUAUUCAUUUUAAAAAACGACAUGAGGUUCACUCAGUUUGAUUAACGUGUUCAUCAUUUCAUGUCCAAAUCUGACUGGCAGGGAAACAGAAUCAUUACUUUAGAGUGUAAAUCUUUUUGGAAACCUUGUUCCCUAGUAACUUUAUAUACAAGUCAUGUCAGCCUUUUAAUAUUGAUACAGGUAUAAUUGUACUACUGGUAAUAUCAUAUUUCUGGGGUCAAUGUUUGUCAGUCCCCAAGCUUUCAUAUGCACAGAUGAACGUCAUGAUGUCAGCGGAUACCUCCUGAGGUCCACUGCUCGAUUCCACAGCCUCUUGCACCAUCCUGUGGACAAACGUCCUCCACUCUACUGUCAAUGAACGCAGCAGCAGUUGGAUUAAAAUCGGCCGGGGCGCGUGGGACACGUGACGUGACGUGACGUCGAAGACGGGACGGGACGGGACGGGCUCUCUCUCUCUCUCUCUCUCUCUCUCUCUUUCUCUCUCUCCCUCUCUCUCUCUCUCUCUC